AGUAUCACGCCGGGAUUGAGCGGACUACUCUGAUGACGUAGAAAACGGGUUUACUGACCCUGAUACUU
rnacentral:tRNA from 1 species